rnacentral:lncRNA from 1 species
UCCUGGGAGAGCUGCUCCCCUGCAAGUUCCGCAAGUUUCUGUCCCAACUGCGGGCCAAGUGUGCGGAGGAGGAGCCGGAGCCGGAGCCGCAGGCACAGGGUGAAGCUCACCGAAGAGCAGAAGCGGGGUGGGGAGGCCGUCCCUCCUGGGGCUGCUCUGCCCUGCCCUUGCAGGUCGGUAGAGGCGCCGGAGUGAGGGCGCCCCCAGCCCCCAGCUCCUCCUCCUCCUGGCCCCCAGCGCCCUCAGCACCUCGACAUCAAAGUGGGGCGUCCGAGCCCUGGCGGCGUUCUCCGGGGUGUCCCAGCUGCCAGUUCCUCCCAGACCUGCAGUAAGUGUGGGGGACCUGCAUGGUGGGCAGGGCUGCUGGGAUACUUCCAAGGUGGGACCUGCCUGUUCAUGCCAGGUGUGGCCUGUCUUUAAGGGACCAGUUGUCCGGCUUCCAGGAGAGACUGGAGAAGAUUUUGCACCAGAGGACAUCUUCCCUGGGACAACUGAGUGGUGACCACUCACAAUUCCCCACAGUCAGAAAGGCCAGCUCGUUCUGUGGCACACCAGCCCCCGAGGCCAUGCCCACCCCUACCCCCUCCGGGGAAGGCUUGGGGCCCCGCAGGCACAGCUGCCCUUUCCAGGUACGGCUUGCUGAUGAGAUGCUCACGGACAGCGCUCUCUGCUACUGGGAACACAGCUGUGCAGGCAGGUGCUGUGCUGCUGAGCUACAUUCCCGCCCAUGCAAAGGGGUCUUAUGCAGGUGACAUGAAGCCAGGAACAAAAAGAAGCCAGUCCAGCAGAGCAGGAUGUCCCCCCUGCCAGCGGAGUCGGUGUCCAAGCCGGGCCUCAGGAGCCUCGGGAGGUGGCUGGACAGUUUGCCCAGGUCUGGGUACCUCCGGGCCAAGGAGGACGCCAUGGCCAGCUCCUCGCGCUGGGCCCAACCUGGCCUGUGAGGCCCCAAGCCCUGUGUGCCUCCCUGACCCCGGGCAUGGGACCCAGGGUUCUUGAAGUUCACAGGCUCCUGUCUCCCCAGGCCUGCCCGGGAGCCGCUGGGCUACCUCUCCAAGGGCGCCUCUCUAAAGGGCAGCCUGCCCUUCAUCCCCAGGGCCACUGCCCGGUGGCCAUGGAGGAACCUGCAGGGGCUCCCGGACACCUGCAGCUUCCUGGAGCAGUUGGGUAGUUGCUCCUGGAGCCAGAAGCCAGUGAGCACCCCACGCAGCCGGUCAUGGGCCUGGCAGGGGGGGGGGUGGGCCUGCAGGGGCCAGACCUCCAAGUCUGGUGUGGUGGUGCAUACCUGUGAUCUCAGCACGCUGGGGGCUGAGGCAGGAGGAUCUCCACGAGUUCAUGACCAGCCUGGGCUAUAGUUCAAGACCAGCCAGAACUGCAUAGGGAGGCCCUAUCUCAAAAUAAAAAAACAAACAGAAUGGGCCUGCAGCUGUACCACCCACUAGACUGGAGCAGAAGCACGGGUAUGGGCAGUGCUCUGUCUCUUCCAAGGUCCCCAGCAGUGACCAGCUUCCUCCCCUCCCUAGGAACCCUUUCUGCCCAGCCUGGUGCUCCAGUCCAUCCUGAAGCACAGCUGCCCUAAGGGCUACUAGCUCCUCCUGCCUUCCCAAAUGCCUGUGGGAGCCCCAGCUGAGGGCUGCGUGCAGGCCGGGGCAUGAGGAGUGUCCUGCCUCAGCCUGCAAAUAAAGGCACAUCCCUGAUGGCUAGGAUGUGCUGUUAGGUCUCACGGUACUGUACAAGCCUGUUUCGUGCCUGCUUUGGGAGUCUCUCGGGUUCCUGAGCUGGAGGAGGAACAAGGUAGAAUUAUAGCUGGGACCAGGGUGAGGGCCAGGACCGCCCCUCGGGUUUGAGACCCUGGACAACCCCAGACCUGGCACCCGGCCUCUGUCCACCCAGUUCAGCCCAUACCUGAAGGAGGCACCUGAAAUGCAGGGAGCCCCCACCCCUGCCACUGGCCCCCUCCCCGCUGUCCAUGGCGUAGUCCCCGGCUGCUGAUCCAGCUCUUUGUCGCCACCUCCUGGCCAGGGAGGACACAGCCAGGGAAUCCACCGCGGGCACCUGGCUCAGUGGGAACCUGGCUCAGUGGGUCGCUGGGCGGCUGGGGCUGGACAGAGGUUGGUGGUGACCUUGGGCCGUGGAGGACGGAGGCUUUUUUUGGAGGGGCGCCCUGGCUCCAGAAGAAAGGCAGUGGGUAGAUUAGAAACGGUUCGGGCAAAGCCAGCUUGGAGAGGGUUGGGAACGGCGCUGCAGCCGCCCUGGCAGGCGCGCACGGGGCCCGGAGCGGGAUCGGUCCCCCGCCACCUCCACCCCGCCCCUUGGC